rnacentral:lncRNA from 1 species
UUCAACUCCAUUUUUUUUAAUAUAAUACCUUAAAUACUUUUUAAUUUCUUUUCCUUCAAAUUGAUCAAUCUUAUUUAUAACCGCUUGUAAUGUUUUAUUUGCCAUACCCUCUUUGCAAUCUUUAACUUGUUGCUGUUGUAUGAAUAAGGCAAAAGCCUCAAACAUACUUGCAGAAUUGGGAUCAAAAUACAUACUUUAUUCUCUACUACUAUCUCUACUUGUAGUUCCAAUCAAAGCACCAUCCAUAGCCUAUCCUUCAACUCCCUUGCCUUCCUUCUCUAUAAUUCAAAUAACCUAAGAAAAAUUUCCAAAUAUCUUCUAUCUCAAGCUUUUUACGUCAAGUUCAUAAAAUAUGUCAUAUUAUGUGAAAUAUUGCUUGAGAGUGCACUAGGCACUUAGUUGUAGAAGGUAGAAUAGAAAUUAUAAUAAAAAAAAAAUAAUUCUAAUAAAAUACUAAAUAAAUUUUAAUUAAAUUUUAAUAAUGCUAAAUAAGCUAUAAUCAAAUUCAAAAGAAAUUUCAAAAAAAUUAUAAAAAAAAUAAUAAAAAAACUUAAAAGAAUUGAAGAUAAUCCACAAUAAAUCUUAAAAAAAUCCUUAAGAAGCUCUAAAAAAUAUUAAAAUAAUCACAAUAUAUCUUAAAUAAAUCUCAACUAAGUUUUAAUUUAAUCCUUAUUGAAACCUUACUAGACUUCAAUCAAAUCUUAAAUCAAACCUUAGACAAAUGCUAAACUCCAAACCAAAUCCUAAUCAAAUCUUAAAUCAAACCUUAGACAAAUGCUAAACUCUAAAUCAAAUCUUAAUCAAAUCUUAAAUCUUAAAUUGAAUCCUAAUCAAAUCUUAAAUCUUAAAUAAAAUCUUAAUUAAAUCCUAAAUUCUAAACUAAAUCUUAAUUAAAUUUUAAGUCCUAAACCAAAUCUUAAAUAAAUGUUAAUCCUAAACUAAAUCCUAA